rnacentral:rRNA from 1 species
CCCAGACUCCUACGGGAGGCAGCAGUGGGGAAUAUUGCACAAUGGGGGAAACCCUGAUGCAGCGACGCCGCGUGAGUGAAGAAGUAUUUCGGUAUGUAAAGCUCUAUCAGCGGGGAAGAAAAUGACGGUACCUGACUAAGAAGCCCCGGCUAACUACGUGCCAGCAGCCGCGGUAAUACGUAGGGGGCAAGCGUUAUCCGGAUUUACUGGGUGUAAAGGGAGCGUAGGUGGCAUGGUAAGCCAGAAGUGAAAACCCGGGGCUCAACCCCGCGGAUUGCUUUUGGAACUAUCAGGCUGGAGUGCUGGAGGGGUAAGCGGAAUUCCUAGUGUAGCGGUGAAAUGCGUAGAUAUUAGGAGGAACACCGGUGGCGAAGGCGGCUUACUGGACAGAAACUGACACUGAGGCUCGAAAGCGUGGGGAGCAAACAGGAUUAGAUACCCCAGUA